GAUGAACGCUGGCGGCAUGCCUAAUACAUGCAAGUCGAACGAGAGGAAGGAAAGCUUGCUUUUCUGAAUCUAGUGGCGAACGGGUGAGUAACACGUAGGUAACCUGCCCAUGUGCCCGGGAUAACUCCUGGAAACGGAUGCUAAAACCGGAUAGGUAGCAGACAAGCAUUUGACUGCUAUUAAAGUGGCUAAGGCCAUGAACAUGGAUGGACCUGCGGUGCAUUAGCUAGUUGGUGAAGUAACGGCCCACCAAGGCGACGAUGCAUAGCCGGCCUGAGAGGGCGGACGGCCACAUUGGGACUGAGACACGGCCCAAACUCCUACGGGAGGCAGCAGUAGGGAAUUUUCGUCAAUGGGGGGAACCCUGAACGAGCAAUGCCGCGUGAGUGAGGAGGGUCUUCGGAUCGUAAAGCUCUGUUGUAAGAGAAAAACGACAUUCAUAGGGAAUGAUGAGUGAGUGAUGGUAUCUUACCAGAAAGUCACGGCUAACUACGUGCCAGCCGCCGCUGUAAUAC
rnacentral:rRNA from 1 species